rnacentral:lncRNA from 1 species
AGAUUAUGCAAUAAAGAACAUGCUAACUUAAAUUGCAUAAGUCACCAAAACCUGAGAAAGGACAGUAUUCGACUUCAUGCGUUAUCUUUCUACCUUCAAGAAAUGAAAUGCUUUCCAGAGUCCGUGGACAUGAAUGCCACUUUGGAUCUAAUGUUACAAGUAGGCAACACAUUUUGCAUGUCAUUUUGACUUCUCCGUAUUUAUAUGAAAUGUGAAAAAUAUCUGACGAGGCAUUUGUCAAUAGUGUUCAUCAACAGAGGUCU